GAGCUCAUUUGCAUGAGCGCUCCGCUUGGCCGCACCGCCACGUCUUGAUAAAUCUGGACUCUUUCCACGCACUGGGCUGGAAAAGUGCAUCAAGAUGUGGCCUGCACCAGUGCUUCUGCUCGUCCAGUCGGCUCUGCUGAUUCAAGGAUCUUCCGCCCAGGAUUUGUUGACCCAGACGGACAAAAUCAAGUAUGUCAGUCUACAUGGGACGGUGACCAUCAGCGCCAAAGGGAGUUCAAAUAUUGACGAUGAUCUCAGUUGGUACCAAGUGAAACCUGGACAGGUUCCUAAACCUCUGAUCUAUGAUGCAUCAAGUCUUGCUUCUGGAACACCAUCUCGAUUCAGUGGCACACGAUCUGGCUCUGACUACACUCUGACUAUCAGUGGUGUUCAGACAGACGAUGUCGCUGAUUACUACUGUUUUGCCGAGUUUGGAGGGGGAAGGUUUACACGGUGAUUGAGAGCUGUACAAAAACCUCCUUUGGUUAGAGGGAAGUGAAAGUGGAAGAUGUGAUGAUGACUGGUCCACUGAACAAAGAUCACCAAGCAGAACCAGCGUCAACUUGAACAAGUUGAUUGGCUUGUAAGAAAAAGUUGAAAUGAGGGAAGAAGAAGUCACACUAACACUGAGGGCCGGCCCGUCCCAUAAACACUUCAUGCCAAAGUUCUCCAAGCCAAGGACCCCCAAACUGACAUCAAGAUGGAGUGAGGACCCCCAACUAACACAUCUUGUAUAAAAUUGGGUUUUAUAUUGUCAUUAAUGUACUUGUAGCUCUUACUCCUAAACUGUACAUAAAUGAACUCCAGAACACAGAACACAUCGAUUAAUUAAUACAUUAAACUGAUUAUUGGCUAGGAUAGGCUCCAGCUCCCCACGACCCCGAGAGGGACAAGGGGUAGAAAAUGGAUGAAUGGAUGAUUAUUG